rnacentral:rRNA from 1 species
AUUGAACGCUGGCGGAAUGCUUUACACAUGCAAGUCGAACGGCAGCACGGGGCAACCUGGUGGCGAGUGGGCGAACGGGUGAGUAAUAUAUCGGAACGUGCCCAAUCGUGGGGGAUAACGUAGCGAAAGUUACGCUAAUACCGCAUACGAUCUACGGAUGAAAGCGGGGGAUCGCAAGACCUCGCGCGAAUGGAGCGGCCGAUAUCAGAUUAGGUAGUUGGUGGGGUAAAGGCUCACCAAGCCAACGAUCUGUAGCUGGUCUGAGAGGACGACCAGCCACACUGGAACUGAGACACGGUCCAGACUCCUACGGGAGGCAGCAGUGGGGAAUUUUGGACAAUGGGCGCAAGCCUGAUCCAGCCAUUCCGCGUGCAGGAUGAAGGCCUUCGGGUUGUAAACUGCUUUUGUACGGAACGAAACGGUCUGCCCUAAUACGGCAGGCUAAUGACGGUACCGUAAGAAUAAGCACCGGCUAACUACGUG